CCAAUAGCGUAUAUUAAAGUUGUUGCAGUUAAAAAGCUCGUAGUUGAAUUUCGGGAUUCUAUCGUUGGUCGGGCUAUUGUCUGUACUGGCGUGUAGAAUUUCUACCUUCUGGGGAACUAUCAUGUUAUUAAUUUAGCGUGGUAGGAAACCAGGACCUUUACCUUGAAAAAAUUAGAGUGUUCAAAGCAGGCUUAUGUCUGAAUACAUUAGCAUGGAAUAAUAAAAUAGGACGGUGGUCCUGUUUUGUUGGUUUCUGAAUCACCGUAAUGAUUAAUAGGGAUAGUUGGGGGCAUUAGUAUUCAAUUGUCAGAGGUGAAAGUCUUGGAUUUAUUGAAGACUAACUACUGCGAAAGCAUUUGCCAAGGAUGUUUUCAUUAAUCAAGAACGAAAGUUAGGGGAUCGAAGACAAUCAGAUGCCGUCGUAGACUUAACCAUAAACUAUGCCGACUAGGGAUCGGAUGAUGUUAAUUUUUUAAUGACUCAUUCGGCGCCUUACG
rnacentral:rRNA from 1 species